ACCUGAGUGGCUCAGUGGUUGAGCAUCUGCCUUUGGCUCAGGGCAUAGUCCCAGGGUCCUGGGAUCAAGUCCCACAUCAGGUU
rnacentral:tRNA from 1 species